rnacentral:rRNA from 1 species
ACGUAGGUGGCAAGCGUUGUCCGGAUUUACUGGGCGUAAAGAGCGCGCAGGCGGUUGAUUAAGUCGAAUGUGAAAGCCCCCGGCUCAACUGGGGAGGGUCAUUCGAUACUGAUCGACUUGAAGGCAGGAGAGGGAAGUGGAAUUCCGGGUGUAGUGGUGAAAUGCGUAGAUAUCGGAAGGAACAUCAGUGGCGAAAGCGACUUCCUGGACCAGUACCGACGUUCAGGCACGAAAGCGUGGGGAGCAAACAGGA